GGCCUAACACAUGCAAGUCGAGCGGUAGCACAGGAGAGCUUGCUCUCUGGGUGACGAGCGGCGGACGGGUGAGUAAUGUCUGGGAAACUGCCUGAUGGAGGGGGAUAACUACUGGAAACGGUAGCUAAUACCGCAUAACGUCUUCGGACCAAAGAGGGGGACCUUCGGGCCUCUUGCCAUCAGAUGUGCCCAGAUGGGAUUAGCUAGUAGGUGAGGUAAUGGCUCACCUAGGCGACGAUCCCUAGCUGGUCUGAGAGGAUGACCAGCCACACUGGAACUGAGACACGGUCCAGACUCCUACGGGAGGCAGCAGUGGGGAAUAUUGCACAAUGGGCGCAAGCCUGAUGCAGCCAUGCCGCGUGUAUGAAGAAGGCCUUCGGGUUGUAAAGUACUUUCAGCGAGGAGGAAGGCAUUGUGGUUAAUAACCGCAGUGAUUGACGUUACUCGCAG
rnacentral:rRNA from 1 species